rnacentral:lncRNA from 1 species
GCCUGACCGCAAGUGAUCGUUGGGAGGCCAAGGCCUCAUAAAGUGCUGAGAUUACAGGUGUAAGCCAUGGCGUUCAUCAUGCCACUGCACUCCAGCCUGGGUUACUGGGUAAUAUUUUUUUAAAAUAUUUUAGACUCUGUCUAAAAAAAAAAAAAAAAAAAAAAGAAAGAAAGAAAGAAAGCUUCCUCUUGUAUGGGGAAAGUCACUACUGUAUGUUAAGACUAGGCAUUGAUUUUCAAAUGAUUCACAUUUUCCAUGUAAGAAGAAAAAAGAGCUACGUGUUAUCCUCACAAAUUUGCUGUUAAGUCCAUAUAAUUUAACUACCAGUUGCUUGAUUUUUAGGGUUCUCCAGAGAAAUAGAACCAAUAGGAUAUUGAAACUGAGGACUUUUGCUCAUUUUGCUUUUGUGUAUAUAUGUGUGUAUAUGUGUAUGUAUAUAUACACAAAAGCAUAU